UUUAAAAUUGCACAGCCUAGAGCCCACAAAACCGAGCAUGUAAUUACACACUUACUAGAGGUAACAGCAGUGCUGAUAAUUAUUCUUUACACAGGAGAGACCCUGCUGAUAUCCCACAGUCAGAAAGUGGGAACUACAAUAUCUUUAAUACCAUCCUCAGAGACCCUCAUAAGCAGAAGAGAAGUAUGAGAAAGCUCACAAGGUCCACAGCAAUAUCUUCAUCGCGCCAGAAUGUCAGGGGCUUUAGCACAACAGAAAUCAAUAGUUUCUAGUACAUUUUUUGGUACAAUUUUUUUUUAAUGACCUAACCUGAGAAAGUACAGGGAAGGCAGAGGUACAGAACAGUAGGAAACAAAACCUCCUUAACCGAAGGCCUAUUUAGACAUGUCAUGCAACGUCAGUUUAGGAGAGACGCGUUCUUUAUCUGAGCCACACAACCGGGCAGCUGGAGCGAGGUCUUGGUCCUGGAGUGCUUUCGGUCAUAGGGUGUGUGCACGUCUGUGUGUGUGCUUCAGUCACAGAAGGGGGUGAGAAGUGGGAAGAGGGGAUUUGCAUAGAACCUCCAAUUUUCCUUAUUUCCUAGGGAGUUGAUGAUUUCAGGCAAAUAUAAGUCUUAACGUUACAUCUGCAAUGGAAAAACAAGUCAAACUCAGCAAAAAGGAGCCCUGAAGAGACAGAGUUAAGUGCUUCCGUGAUGAGAGUAGAGUUGGCCUAUGCUGUCCCUCCCAGGACUCCUUUACCCAAGAGAAAGAGAGAGUGUGCAUCCAAAGGGGAGUGAAAAUAGAAUAUAAAUAGGGAAAAUAGAACCAUUCAGAGCAGUUCAGGGAUCUUUACUACUCUGACAUGGAAGGAAGAAGGAGGAGAAGAGAAAAGAUGAACGGACCUUGAACCUGGGAUAUCGCUCAUGUGACUGCUACAUUGGUAUUAAGAUACAGCAUUCAUGUGCCCUGGAAUGUUUUGUUCUAUUAGGUGCUACACCCAGUAGAACAGUGCUCCAUCCAAUGCAAUUUUCUGGAAUUUAAACAAUCCAGACCAGAAUUUUUCCUCCUUGGAGAUGGAAUGUCUUGCUCCAGAGGGAGGAGGAAGAAGAGAAAAGAGAAGUCUCAACCAGCCUCCUCUCUACCCCACACAGAGAAUAGAGAUGCAAAACUUCUCCCAUAGAGUGUUUCAGCUUCUUCCUCGUUCCUCUUGCUUCUUUUCUCUUGGGAUAAUGACUUGGGUUUGGCCAGUAUGUAAAGUUGACUUGUGGUACCUCUGGCUCUUCUCCAGGGGUGCUCACAGAAAUAACUACAGUGGACUAGAAUGAGAUGCUUGAAACCUUCCCCCGAGCCUAGCUCUGCAUUUAGGAGAACAGCACAGCGCACCAUGAUCUGAUAUAGGUAUAGGUGGGUGGGAGUCUCAGUCUGUAGUUCUAUAUCACCUAUUAAGAGACUGGAACCUGGUCCCAUGUUUUCUGCAGGAGGUUGAGCUCUUAACAAUGUGCCAAGCCAGCAGCUGUGCCCUAGAGUCUUGGCCUAAGACAAGCAAAUAAUUGUCAGAUGACUGAAUAGUUCUGUUUCCUUAUUAAAUCUUAGGUUUAGAAUUCCUUUCACAAUUAAAAAGAUUUGGACAACAACUUAAAAUGAAGGCAAUACUAAAAUCUACCUCCAGAUGGGACUGUGAGGACCAGAUGAGAUGCUGUUUUAAAGCCCCGAGACCCCAGCACACAGUAGGUCUUCAAUAGGUAUCAUUCCCUUCCCUGUCCUUUCUGGCAAGGAGUUUAGCUUUGACUUAUUAAGGACUCAUAGGCAAGUCAUUUUUUAAUUGUUAUGGGAGGAAAAAAUGGCAUUGCCUUCCUUGUUUUACUGUGGUUUGUGGAAACUCAAAAAAAAGCAGCGUUCGGUUUUACAAUCUCU
rnacentral:lncRNA from 1 species